rnacentral:lncRNA from 1 species
CCAGCAGCUACUGAUAAUUAUAGAUACAGAUAAUGUGUUUAAAUAAUCAGAAACAUUUGCAUGAAUAUAGUAUAUUUCAAAUAUCACCAGAAGACAGUGAAUCUCACAGCCACUUCUAACUAGAAAUUACUCUAAAGCUUUUCUUUGCUGCAACUUUUUUUAAGCAAAGAACCACGGUUUAUCUGCUUUAUUUAUUUAUUUGGUUGGUUUGUUGUUUAUUUAUUUAUUUAUUUUGGCCUUCAUGGUAAUUGAGCUUCCACUGAGGAAGAAGAAGAGAGAAGAUUGAAGAGGUGGACCGGCUGCACAUUUCAUCAUGAAGAUUUAUCCGGAGAUCCAAGAGACUGACUCAGGCUAUGAAUCAGCUACGUAAGUUCCAUGAAAGGGCUAUGUCUUCUAAGAAAAAGGAUCACGCUGACCUCCACUUUCAACAAGUUGCCUCUAAGCAUGAAGUGACCCUAAGAGAUAGGAAGAUAAGGAGGUAAUGGGUCUGGUUGAGACCAAGCAUCCAAACUAAGAAAUAAAGUUUGCGUAUGGUAACAACAAUAAUAAUAUUACAAAUGGGACAUAAGACAUAUCUAUAAAGGGAACUAAGGUUUCACUAAUAACACUGCAUCUAAUAUUUCUGUGAAUCCCAAGUGAUUACUCGCAUACUAAAAAGCAACCACCUAACCCUCUUUGUCUGUUUUGUAGUAUAAGAAGGGAUAAAGAGAGAAAUUUGUCCCUGGCAUUACAUUUUCUUAUGCAAACUAAUUUAAAUCACACAUCUCAAUGUUGAAAGCUUGUCUGACAAGCAUUUCCAAAGCACAAAACAAAUCUCAUAACAGGUUAACUUGCACUGGGCUGAUGUUGGCAAAGGACUUUUAGUACUUCUGAGAAGGCUGAAAAAUAAUUUUUCUGCUAGGAAAAAAAAUGUACCCAAAUAUAAUGGUGUAUUAAGGGAUUAGUGCUAGAUUAAAGUAUUCUUUCUUCUCACAACCAGGGACAAUCUUUUGAUCUAAUCUAAGAGGUAAUCUAAUUUUAAUGCAAGUGGAAGAACUGAAAAGCUGCACAGAGUAUAAAAAGAAGGACUAAGGUAGUAGAGAAAGAGGAUCUUCCCUUUGCCAGGUAGGGGAUCCAUCUGAUAAGCUGGUAUAUGCCUUAGACUUACUGCUGUAUGUGUCCUAAUAGUUACGACUCCAUAAGUCACUAAGUAAAGAUACACAUUUAAAACUUGGGGAUUGACACAGCGGGAGCAUGGCUAUCUUGGACAAGCACCACCAUUCUAAAGUUCCCCUUGAUCAAAAACUGCCUAAAUCCAAAGGGCAUCAGCUUAAUGGCUAACGUCAGCAUGACCAUAAACCACAAAUAACAUCCCAGUCCAGAAACAUUCCAACCAUAAGAUAAACCCCUCCCCGACCAGAGACAGGUCAGCCCCAGGAUAACUUCCCUUCCAAACAGAGACAUUCCAACCCCACCAUAAAUUUCUCCCCCACACAGAAACAUUCCAAGCCUGUGAUAAAGCUCUCUCGCCCUAAAACCAAUAAAUACUCUUAGUCUGUAAGAGAGAGUGCUCCUGUCCAAAAAUUGGCCAGAAGCCCCUCUCAGGUUUAUUCUGCAAAAUUAACCUGUCUUUGACUGUUGAGCCGCUUUUCGUGUUUCUUUCCUGUUUCUUUAACUCUUACAGGGAUCUCUUGGUUCAGAACACAUUUGAGGGCCUGUUAUAUACUAGGCAUUAUCAUAUUUCUUGAUUCUUUUAAAUUUCAUUGAUUUUAAUAUCUAAAACUUCCCUAUUAGGUACCUUUUUCAGAUGAAGCAAACUAAAAUUUAGAAAAGUUAAGCAAUUUCCCCAAGGUCAUGUUAGUAUAUAUCUGGGAGAAUAACAAUUUGAAUUCACAUCUUUCCGACUAAGCCAGGCUGAACCCUUAAUGACCUUUCUCAACUAUCAGCUCACCUCUCCCCAUAAUGCAUAUUUUACAGCUCAAAAAGGAGAGGAAGGAAAAACCUUUAAACCCAUUGCUAGAAAGGGUGUAUUACGUACAAGGCAGAAUGGCAAGCACAGGAGAAAUCAUUAAAGAAUGUCAUAAAAGACCAAAAAAAAAAAAAACCCAUCCCAAGAUUUGUCCUCUUAUAUAUUGGGAAAGAGACCCGUUCCCCCACGGCAUGAACCAUCAGGAAAACCGGCUGUCUUUAGAUUUUCAUAAAUAAAUCCUCAGCCUUGGAUUGACAUUUUCUUUAUGAAGCCAUAGAGAAAUAAUUGCUACAUAUUUCAGAAUGUACUAGCUCAGCACUGUCCAAGAGAAACAUAAUGUGAACCACAUAUGCAAUUACGAAUUUCCAAGGAUUCACAUUUAAAAACUGUACAAAGAAAUGUUAAAUUAAUUGUAAUAAUGUAUUUUGUGUAGCCCAAUAUAAUCAAAAUAUUAUUUCAACAUCUAAUGUAUAUAAAAAUUGUUGGAGAUAAUUUAUAUCGUGAUAUGAAGUUUUUACAAUCUAGUAUAUUUUUAUACUUAACAGCACACUGAAACUCAAUGCUAAAUUUU